AGCGAACGCUGGCGGCAGGCCUAACACAUGCAAGUCGAACGAACCCUUCGGGGUUAGUGGCGGACGGGUGAGUAACACGUGGGAACGUGCCUUUAGGUUCGGAAUAACUCAGGGAAACUUGUGCUAACACCGAAUGUGCCCUUCGGGGGAAAGAUUUAUCGCCUUUAGAGCGGCCCGCGUCUGAUUAGCUAGUUGGUGAGGUAAUGGCUCACCAAGGCUACGAUCAGUAGCUGGUCUGAGAGGAUGACCAGCCACAUUGGGACUGAGACACGGCCCAAACUCCUACGGGAGGCAGCAGUGGGGAAUCUUGCGCAAUGGGCGAAAGCCUGACGCAGCCAUGCCGCGUGGAUGAUGAAGGUCUUAGGAUUGUAAAAUCCUCUCACCGGUGAAGAUAAUGACUGUAGCCGGAGAAGAAGCCCCGGCUAACUUCGUGCCAGCAGCCGCCGUAACAC
rnacentral:rRNA from 1 species